CACUGUGAGCAAAUUACUUCAUUCAUCACUACCCUCAAAGGACUUGAACUGUUGAACAUUCAAGUCAAAGCAAACUAAGUUUGUCCUGGGUCAAACUUCUCUGAAAUACUUUAUAUUAUGUUUAAAAUGUGAAGUUUGUGCUAUAAGAUUCUAUACAGAGUAAAAAAUAGUAAAUUAAAAUUUGGAUAGAAGUUGAUACAUUUUAAUAAUCAGGGAUAUGGAAGAUCAUAUUGAUUGGCUUCUUCAGCAUGGGUGGCAUGAAAAAGCUUUGGCUGCAGUUGAAUCUGGUCAGGGACGCAGUGAACUACUUGAUGAGGUAGGAUCGAGGUACCUAGAUCAUUUGAUUGUGGAAC